GAGCGGGUCGGCGAUGUCGGCGAGGAUCUGGUCGUUGCGCAUGGCCGGCUCGGCGGCGGCGUCGACGAGGUUGAGUUCGAUCUCCAGCCCGGUCA
rnacentral:tRNA from 3 species